rnacentral:rRNA from 1 species
UACGUAGGGUGCAAGCGUUGUCCGGAAUUAUUGGGCGUAAAGAGCUCGUAGGCGGUCUGUCGCGUCGAAUGUGAAAACCCGGGGGCUCAACUCCGGGCUUGCAUUCGAUACGGGCAGGCUUGAAUCCGGGAGAGGGAUGCGGAAUUCCAGGUGUAGCGGUGAAAUGCGUAGAUAUCUGGAGGAACACCGGUGGCGAAGGCGGCAUCCUGGACCGAGAUGACGCUGAGGCGCGGAAAGCCAGGGGAGCAAAGCGGGG